rnacentral:rRNA from 1 species
AAAUGAAUAGACGGGGACCCGCACAAGCGGUGGAGCAUGUGGUUUAAUUCGAAGCAACGCGAAGAACCUUACCUGCUCUUGACAUCCCAUUCGAUAGAGGGUAAUGCCUCUAGCCCUUCGGGGGAAUGGAGACAGGUGGUGCAUGGUUGUCGUCAGCUCGUGUCGUGAGAUGUUGGGUUAAGUCCCGCAACGAGCGCAACCCUUAUUGUCAGUAGCCAGCAGGUGAAGCUGGGCACUCUGAUGAGACUGCCGGGGAUAACCCGGAGGAAGGUGGGGAUGACGUCAAAUCAUCAUGCCCCUUAUGAGCAGGGCUACACACGUGCUACAAUGGCGUAAACAGAGGGAAGCGAAGGAGUGAUCUGGAGCAAAUCUCAAAAAUAACGUCUCAGUUCGGAUUGUAGUCUGCAACUCGACUACAUGAAGCUGGAAUCGCUAGUAAUCGCAGAUCAGAAUGCUGCGGUGAAUACGUUCCCGGGUCUUGUACACACCGCCCGU